CUUAAAUUGAAGAGUUUGAUCAUGGCUCAGAUUGAACGCUGGCGGCAGGCCUAACACAUGCAAGUCGAGCGGUAGCACAAG
rnacentral:rRNA from 1 species